rnacentral:lncRNA from 1 species
AGCGAGCUCCCUCCCACGCCGCGGCUGCUACUCCGAGGGCGGCGCGGAGCCCGGCCUUGGCCUUGGCCUCCGGGCGCCGGGGCUGCUGCCGCCGCGGGGCUUGCUGCUGCGCCUGCCGCUGCCGGGCCCGAGGCUGCCGCCGCCGCCGCUCGGGGACGCCAGGCUCCGGUGCCUUCGGUGCCUUCGCUCCCGCUCCCACGUUCACAACCCCGAGGGCCGGGGAGAGGCGUCCGCGCGAGGUCGGAAUUGGGAUUAAUAACAAGCGGCCGGCGGAGCUGGGGGGACUGGCGGGGCGUCACACGUCCACGUCCACAGAGCCAUGCUGCGGAGGAGGCCGGCGAACCCUCCUCGCCCGGUGUUCCUGCCGGACGCGGCGCCGUUUGCCGCUCGCAGGCCUGAGGCGGCCUGAGCGGGAAGCGCUGCUCGGGAGCUAACGAGACGUCAGGAAGUAACUCUUCUUGCAAGAGUUUCCAGAACAACUGAAAGAUGGUUGAAGAAAGAGAGCAAGAUCAAGAGAACUACAGAGCCAGGCAAGUAUUUAGAAA